rnacentral:rRNA from 1 species
GAUGAACGCUGGCGGCGUGCCUAAUACAUGCAAGUCGAGCGAACAGAUGAGGAUCUUGCUCCUCUGACGUUAGCCGCGCACGUGUGAGUAACACGUGUAUAACCUACCUAUAAGACUGGUAUAACUUCGGGAAACCGGAGCUAAUACCGGAUAAUAUAUUGAACCGCAUGGGUGAAUAGUGAAAUACGGUUUUGCGGGCACUUAUAGAUGGAUCCCCGCCGCAUUAGAUAGUUGGUAAGGUAACGGGUUAUCAAGGCAACGAUGCGUAGCCGACCUGAGAGGGUGAUCGCCGACACGGGAGCGGGACCACGGACAAGGGUACUGCGAGAGGCAGCAGUAGGGAAUGUUCGGCAAUGGGCGAAAGCAUGACGGAGCAAGGCCGAGUGAGUGAUGAAGGUCUUGGGUGCGGAAAAAUCUGUUAUGAGGGAAGAACAAAUGUGUACGUAACUAUGCACGUCUUGACGGUAACUAAUCAGAAAGCCACGGCUAACUACGUG